rnacentral:rRNA from 1 species
GAGGAAAAGAAACUAACAAGGAUUCCCUUAGUAACUGCGAGUGAAGCGGGAAUAGCUCAAAUUUAAAAUCUGGCAGUCCUUGGCUGUCCGAAUUGUAGCCUAGAGAAGUGUUGCCCGCGCUGGACCAUGUAUAAGUCUCCUGGAACGGAGCGUCACAGAGGGUGAGAAUCCCGUGUUUGACAUGGACUUGCCAGUGCAUUGUGGUAUGCUCUCAAAGAGUUGAGUUGUUUGGGAAUGCAGCUCUAAAUGGGUGGUAAAUUCCAUCUAAAGCUAAAUAUUGGCGAGAGACCGAUAGCGAACAAGUACCGUGAGGGAAAGAUGAAAAGAACUUUGGAAAGAGAGUUAAACAGUAUGUGAAAUUGUUGAAAGGGAAACGUUUGAAGUCAGUCGUGUUGGUCAGGGAUCAGCUCAGCUAWUUUGCUGAGUGCACUUCUUGGCACAACGGGCCAACAUCAGUCUUGAUUGCUGGAGAAAGGCUGAGGGAAUGUGGCACCUUUGGGUGUGUUAUAGCCGUCAGUCAUAUGCAGCGGUUGGGGCUGAGGAAAGCAGCGCGCCGCAAGGCCGGGUCGUUUYCGACCACGUUCGCGCUUAGGAUGUUGGCAAAUAAUGGCUUUAAGCGACCCGUCUUGAAACACGGACCAAGGAGUCUAACAUGCCUGCGAGUGUUUGGGUGGAAAACCCGAACGCGCAAUGAAAGUGAAAGUUGAGAUCCCCC